CAAUAGCGUAUAUUAAAGUUGUUGCGGUUAAAAAGCUCGUAGUUGGAUUUCUGCCGAGGACGUCCGGUCCGCCCUCUGGGUGAGUACAUGGCACGGCCUGGGCAUCUUCUUGGGGAACGUAUCUGCACUUGACUGUGUGGUGCGGUAUCCAGGACUUUUACUUUGAGGAAAUUAGAGUGUUUCAAGCAGGCACACGCCUUGAAUACAUUAGCAUGGAAUAAUAAGAUAGGACCUCGGUUCUAUUUUGUUGGUUUCUAGAGCUGAGGUAAUGAUUAAUAGGGAUAGUUGGGGGCAUUCGUAUUUAACUGUCAGAGGUGAAAUUCUUGGAUUUGUUAAAGGCGGACUACUGCGAAAGCAUUUGCCAAGGAUGUUUUCAUUGA
rnacentral:rRNA from 1 species